CUGAUGUUCUGGUUGCACUCAAGAGUACAAUCUCUAUCGUCCGAUCAUCCUCGACGAGGCCACCGACUUCUUCAACAAACACGGCGCAUCUGACUUCACCUUCGAUACUUGUAGACUCUGGGGAUGGAGGUGCCGCGCAAAACUCGCAGUUCGGGGCUCAUCCACCGACCCUCUCAUUGGGCUCUAUCAAGAGGGUACUCAUAAUGUAGUUGAUAUUCCUGAUUGUAAAGGUUGCAACAAUGUAUGCAGUGAUGUUAGAUACUGAUUAUAUGAACAAACCUGCAUUCAAAGAGAAUUUUAUGAAUGACUGGAGAAAAAUACUUGAGAAAAACCAUGUAAUUCAGAAGUUGGAAGAUUGCGAUUUCACCCCAAUAUAUGAAUGGCAUCAAAGGGAA